GGAUUAGAUACCCUGGUAGUCCACGCCGUAAACGAUGACAACUAGCUGACGGAGCUGUAAAAGGCUUAGGUGGCGAAGCUAACGCGCUAAGUUGUCCGCCUGGGGAGUACGGCCGCAAGGUUAAAACUCAAAUGAAUUGACGGGGGCCCGCACAAGCGGUGGAGCAUGUGGUUUAAUUCGAUGCAACGCGAAGAACCUUACCUAGUCUUGACAUCCUAAGAAACCUGCAGAAAUGCGGGUGUGCCGAAAGGAACUUAGAGACAGGUGCUGCAUGGCUGUCGUCAGCUCGUGUCG
rnacentral:rRNA from 1 species